rnacentral:rRNA from 1 species
AUUGAACGCUGGCGGAAUGCUUUACACAUGCAAGUCGAACGGUAGAGGGGGCAACCCCUCGAGAGUGGCGAACGGGUGAGUAAUAUAUCGGAACGUGCCCAGUCGUGGGGGAUAACGUAGCGAAAGUUACGCUAAUACCGCAUACGAUCUAAGGAUGAAAGCGGGGGAUCGCAAGACCUCGCGCGAUUGGAGCGGCCGAUAUCAGAUUAGGUAGUUGGUGGGGUAAAGGCUCACCAAGCCAACGAUCUGUAGCUGGUCUGAGAGGACGACCAGCCACACUGGAACUGAGACACGUUCCAGACUCCUACGGGAGUCAGCAGUGGGGAAUUUUGGACAAUGGACGCAAGUCUGAUCCAGCCAUUCCGCGUGCAGGAUGAAGGCCCUCGGGUUGUAAACUGCUUUUGUACGGAACGAAAAGGUCUCUCUUAAUACGGGGGGCUCAUGACGGUACCGUAAGAAUAAGCACCGGCUAACUACGUGCCAGCAGCCGCAGUAA